AUUGAACGCUGGCGGCAUGCUUUACACAUGCAAGUCGAACGGCAGCGGGGAGGAGCUUGCUUCUCUGCCGGCGAGUGGCGAACGGGUGAGUAAUACAUCGGAACGUGUCGAGAAGAGGGGGAUAACCACCCGAAAGGGUGGCUAAUACCGCAUAAAUUCUGAGGAAGAAAGCUGGGGACCUAGGAAUAGGCCUAGCGCUUUUUGAGCGGCCGAUGUCGGAUUAGCUAGUUGGUGAGGUAAAGGCUCACCAAGGCGAAGAUCUGUAGCGGGUCUGAGAGGAUGAUCCGCCACACUGGGACUGAGACACGGCCCAGACUCCUACGGGAGGCAGCAAUGGGGAAUUUUGGACAAUGGGGGCAACCCUGAUCCAGCCAUGCCGCGUGUAUGAAGAAGGCCUUAGGGUUGUAAAGUACUUUUGUUAGGGAAGAAAAGUCAGCUGUGAAUAAUGGCUGAUACUGACGGUACCUAAAGAAUAAGCACCGGCUAACUACGUG
rnacentral:rRNA from 1 species